rnacentral:rRNA from 1 species
AUACGGAGGGUGCAAGCGUUACUCGGAAUCACUGGGCGUAAAGCGCGCGCAGGCGGCUAUUUAAGUUGGAUGUGAAAGCCUACGGCUCAACCGUAGAACUGCAUCCAAAACUAUUUAGCUAGAAUGUGGGAGAGGAAGAUGGAAUUAGUUGUGUAGGGGUAAAAUCCGUAGAGAUAACUAGGAAUACCAAAAGCGAAGGCAAUCUUCUGGAACACUACUGACGCUGAGGCGCGAAAGCGUGGGGAGCAAACAGUAGUAGAAACCCUAGUAGUCC